rnacentral:rRNA from 1 species
CCUACGGGGGGCAGCAGUCGAGAAUCAUUCACAAUGGGGGAAACCCUGAUGGUGCGACGCCGCGUGGGGGAAUGAAGGUCUUUGGAUUGUAAACCCCUGUCAUGUGGGAGCAAAUUAAAAAGAUAGUACCACAAGAGGAAGAGACGGCUAACUCUGUGCCAGCAGCCGCGGUAAUACAGAGGUCUCAAGCGUUGUUCGGAAUCACUGGGCUUAAAGCGUGCGUAGGCUGUUUCGUAAGUCGUGUGUGAAAGGCGCGGGCUCAACCCGCGGACGGCACAUGAUACUGCGAGACUAGAGUAAAGGAGAGGGAACCGGAAUUCUCGGUGUAGCAGUGAAAUGCGUAGAUAUCGAGAGGAACACUCGUGGCGAAGGCGGGUUCCUGGACAUUAACUGACGCUGAGGCACGAAAGCCAGGGGAGCGAAAGGGAUUAGAUACCCCUGUAGUC